CUACUGGAUGCAUUUUGUUUAUCUUCAUGUGCUAUUAAUUGGUUUGAAAGCGAAUAUUUGUGAUUUUGACAAAUACUUCCAAGCUUAUUUUACAGAAUUGGUUGGACCAACUAAAUCCUGACUGCAUUUGGCUUUAUUAAAUAUGCAAAUUACCAAUGUGGUUGGGAUUCAGUCAUAAACUAACAACAGUGUGGCUGUUCUGUGGGCCCUAUAGUU